rnacentral:lncRNA from 1 species
GAGGCACUCGGCUUCGCAACCUGGGUGUGCCUGGCCUGGGUGUGCGGGAGGACCCCAGAGGACCCCAGAGGACCCCAGGAGCAGGGGUCGCGCCGAAGAGCAGAGUCCGCGGCUGGAAACCAGGCAGGGGAGCCACGGAGUAGUCACACAGGUUUUCUGCCGCCUUUCAACUGGUCUUAUUUUGCUUUCAUUUUUCACCAGCCCAUGUGGGGUGUUUAAUGUUGCACGCGAACGCAGUUUCUUCCGGGCCCGGAAGGCCCACGCACGCAACAAUGUUGUGCAAGUGACUGGAAACCACCUGAGUGUCCCUCCAUGGGGGUGGGUUGCCCAGCAUGGACCUCUACUCCUGUCACAAUGAAGUCGACUGUUUCGUCGAGGGAAGUGGCCACCGUUGAUAAAAUGAAAAGACGCCAUGCAGAAUACUGUGCACAGGAGGAAAGGUCUGCGUGCCCUAAGAGAGAGCUGCUGGCGUGCAGAGAGAAGCAGAGAUGCCGACGACGGGGAGGAAACACACUGGCGGUGGAUCUGCGGAGAUGGACAGGACAGGAGACUAAGGAGCUAGACCUUUGCAUCAUUUCAGGUGGCUUGUGAGUUCUGGCCAGCAGAAUGUGAGAACAAGCAGAGUACUCUCCAUCUUCCCUCCCUGAUCCUCACCUCUUCCCCAACCACCAGCUGACUAGAGAUGCCUCCAACAGCUACAGGAGG